UUCCCUCCAGCAGUCUGUUACACAAGAGGCCCGCAUGGAGACUACUGGCAGCCAUUCCCCAGCCUGCGUUGCUCGAGCAGGUUCUGUGGCGCCACAGGAUGAGUGGGUGACGUAUCACAGAGUCGGCAGAUGGAGUGCACCUUGGUUUAGCAGAGCUGCUGCAGGAGGGGCUUUUUGAGUCUCACAGGUUCACUUGUCCCGGCUUGCAGGAAUGUAGCCCCAUUGGGCCAGGUUCAUUUCACUGAGCCCUGGGUCUGAGGGCGAAGCCCUGCUGUGGACCUUCUGAUGAACAUAAAUGCAUCCUGACUACAACCAGCCAAGAGCCCUCCCUGGAUCCUGCCAGCUCUGUGGUCCCUGAUGAAGAUGUAGCUCUCAGCCCUGAUGAUGCAGCUCCCGUGCCCUGCCUGCCUGCCUGCCACUCAACUCCCUAUCAUACUGUUCAUAGACUUACCCUCUGAAACUACAGCCAAUCCUCCAAUUAAAUGUUUUCUUCUUU
ensembl:processed_transcript 1810021B22Rik RIKEN cDNA 1810021B22 gene